ensembl:lncRNA
GGGGGGGAGGCUGUUUGCUCUCUCCACAGCCUCAUGUUUGCCCUUUGUCUCUGCCAAGAAUAUCUCAAACCAUGAAGCUCUCUCCAGUCUCCUGAUUUACCGAGGCCAGACUGUAAAUCUAGAUCAAUAAUUAGGACAAAUGACCACUUAUAGAUGUGAAAUCGCUCUACUAACAUCCAAAAUGAUUAGCAUAAUGUAGCAUCAUUUAAUCCAAUUUAUUUGUAUUUUUAUACAAUGUUACCUGAAAUUGUCAUUUGUUCUCGCUCUGCACAGAAACAAAGUGCCAAUGCAGCUUCAAAUGUUUAUUACAAACAAUAUUAACUUCAGUUUAGUGUAGGAUGAGGGUACCGUUAGACAGAAAUGUACUAAUUUGGGCAACAAUCAAGUUCAAUCAAUCAAAUGUAUUUAUAAAGCCCAUUUUACAUCAGCCAAUGUCACAAAGUGCUGUAUAGAAACCCAGUCUAAAACCCCAAACAGAAGCAAUGCAGAUGUAGAAGCACAAAGGCCAGAAACAUAAAUAGACUGAACACUAGAGGCCUAGAGGCAUUUGGAGGGCAGGGCUGUGUUUUUGGCACGGCUCUGUAUUUACGUAGAAGAGCCACUAUGUCUGUUUGGACUAGAUGUUUCGGUGGCUGUGAAUACCUGUAUUCAGCCGUUUGGGAGAGGCAGGCAGACAGGACACUGAGGCCAUGGACAGUCAGGAGCCGAGAACAGCCACAGUUUGAAUAUGAUGCCCUCAGACCGGGUGCCCCCUCCUCCCCCUGACCACCUGUGUGUUUGUACAUGCAAGGAUAUGAAAUAGCAGCAAACAUGAUGUGAUGUGUGUAUUUAAGAGGCAUCCUGCUCUGACAGACAUGCACCCUGCCAGUCUGUCCAUCCAGUUUCUGUUUAGGUGAGCGCUGAUCGCCAUAUAACAAUGUAGCCUCUGUUUGUGUUUCAAUGAUGGCCUUCAAUUGACACAUUGAUAUGUAGUAGAUGUGCCAAAAGAUUAUUUAUAAUGUUCCGUAAUUAGAUUUUGAUGAAUUUUCUAAUCUUAUCCUGCACAAGUGGAAAGUAAACAUUCGCUGAAUGUUCUGCACAGAAUGAGCCAAGUGGUUUUGACUAAAAUGUUAAAAUCAUGUGUACCUUAUUUUUUUUGCUGGGAAAGAUACAUUUGAAUUUCAUAUUUAAUCAAAUCAAACUAAUUGGCUAAGUGCAGCAAAUGUAGUAUGUGUACAGUAGCCCUUAUCAGUAAUCCUGGCACGUUCCCCCAGUCUAGCUCUGGUACAAGAGUAAAUUGCAACUCAAACUUUCAGGUAAAUCGUGCUUUUGUGGAAUAUUUUAAUCACAACGCAUCUUGUGUGUAUCUACACCUGUCGACAAAUGUGAACACGGCAGAUCAUGGGAUGCACGUCAACACUAGGUACAGUAUAAAGCCACCCUAAGCCAAAUCUAUAACAUUCAUGGCCCUUGUCUGACAGCCAUAGCUCCACAGUGUUGUUACAACUACAAACACAGAUUAGUCCUCAGGAUUUCACAGCAGAGAACUGCCACUGCACCAGGGGACUGGAAAUGGUCACAGGGGGAUAGAGAGAGUGGGAGGAAGAAAAGUGGGUGGCAGAGAAGGGGUUGAAAUAGAGGGGGUUAGAGUCCCCAGAGAUUAACCUCCUUCUCUUCCUCUCUCUUUUCAAAGCAAGCGAGACACCCAUGUCCUCUGUUAUUACAGAAGCAGUAAUUUUACAUUAGAAAGAGAUAUAAAAUGGCAUUAUAAAAAAUUGCAUUAUGGCAAGUUGCACUGUUGAGAGAUUAUUUUAACGUUAACACGCCACAUAAUUUCUCCACUCCUCCUAUUUUUCCCUUCCCUGAUGGCCAGGGUUAGUGAUGGAAGGGGGAAAUAUACUUAAUAUCAAAUGUUGCUCUCAAACGGCCUCAUUUCUUGGAUGAGUGAAUUGCCCUGUCUCUUCUGGGCGCGCCACUGGUAAUGCUGAGUGGCAGGUACUCCAGCGCAGUCGCAAAGGAGGUGACGUUACGGCAACCGGCGGCCUCCUGGACAACCGUUGUAGUGGGAGACGCUCACCAGACACAGACCCAGAUGCUGCUAACAUUUCCACCAAUUAGGACUGGGACAGCUGUCUGACCAAAAGCAGAGCAGCGGCAAACGGAGAGAACAAAGCCAUCACUGUCAGACACGGCGGUUGAGUGACAACAGAGCAGAGAGAGGGAGAAAGACAGAGGGAGAAAGACAUAGGGAGAAAGACAGAGGGAGAAAGACAGAGAGAGAAAGACAGAGAAAGACAGAUAAAGACAGAGGGAGAAAGACAGAGAGAGAAAGACAGAGGGAGAAAGACAGAGAGAGAAAGACAGAGGAAGAAAGACAGAGGGAGAAAGACAGAGAGAGAAAGACAGAGGGAGAAAGACAGAGAGAGAAAGACAGAUGGAGAAAGAGAGAGAGAGAAAGACAGAUGGAGAAAGACAGAGAGAGAGAAAGACAGAUGGAGAAAGAGAGAGAGAGAAAGACAGAUGGAGAAAGAGAGAGAGAGAAAGACAGAGAGAAAAACAGAUGGAGAAAGACAGAGAGAGAAAGACAGAGAGAGAAAGACAGAGAGAGAAAGACAGAGGGAGAAAGACAGAUGGAGAAAGAGAGAGAGAGAAAGAGAAAGACAGAGAGAGAAAGACAGAGGGAGAAAGACAGAGGGAGAAAGACAGAGAGAGAAAGACAGAGAGAGAAAGACAGAGAGAGAAAGACAGAGGGAGAAAGACAGAGGGAGAAAGACAGAGGGAGAAAGACAGAGAGAGAAAGACAGAGGGAGAAAGACAGAGGGAGAAAUACAGAGAGAAAGAGACUGAGAGAGAAGGGAAAAUGGAGUGAGAGAAAUAAAUUACUAGGGCUGUUGCCUGGUUACUGGGGAACUUAUUGAUUCAGGAACUUCAUCAACUUGUUUCAAAAGAGACAGAGGAAAAGAAAGAAAUGAAAAAAGGUCCUCUACCUCCUUCUACCUUGUUGUCUGUUACAGCCUGCCUCUUGCAGAGUGCCCCAGAAACACACCAUCCUUUGUGUGACAGUCUAAGAUGUCCCUCCUAUUUCCUGUCCUGAAGCCUCUGAAGCGUGGCUCUUCUAGGAGGCUGGAAGUACUUAUUUGUCAUUUCCUCCCUGGGCUGAGAGAGGCUGGUUCAAUUCCCCUGAAGUCUUCCCAGCUGGAGGGAAGGAGAGAGGAGAGAGGAAGACAAGAGGGAGAGAGGGAGACAAGAGAGGGAGAAAGGGAGAGGGAUGAGCCUCCAAUAGUGCCACUAACAUCAGGCAGUUACUUACAAAGAGUACCUGUUCUGACACUUGUCUGUAAACCCUCCCCAUACAGACCUUUUAUGAAAUAUAUCCUUUCCUAAGACAAUAUCUGAAGUAGGUUAAUUGGUUAAUUAUUUAAAAAGGUAAAAUGAAAAAUAAUAAGAAAUAAAUGUAAGCAAUUCUUUGGGGACAUUUUUAUGCUCAAAAUGACAUUCUUUGUUCAUCUCUAUUUCUGUCUCCCUCUCUGUCUGCUAUGCAUCUAGAUCUGACAUUGAAGGGAGAGGUGUGGUCAUCCUUAACAUCCACAUUAAUAGCAUCCUUAUUAUUAUCAUACUCAUUAUUAUCAUCCUCAUUAUUAUCGUCAUCAUUGUCAUCGUCACAUGGCCACGAGAGUGGCGUUUGGGUAAUGAGAGAGCUGUAAAGAGAGAACAGAAGAGGAGAGGCUCCAGCCAGGGUUUACCAGGGCGGUAGCAGUAGCUCGGCUUGUCCACAGUACAUUUAAAGCCCUGUUGUCUAACAGAGCGUCCUCAAUACACCAUAUUGUUUGGGAAUUAAGUACAGCAUAGAGAGUUUGUAAUUAUAUGUUCACAAUAACGGGUUUUCAGAAAUGGCCUGAAAAUAGCUCAGAGGGUUCCGGUCUGUGUUUCUCUGCUACAAAGUACAGAACAAUGGGCUGACUGACUAUAAAAUGGCAGGGGGUCUCAGAAUAGCAGCAAAGAGCUCCCUUCUUAAUACUUGUAGAUUUCAAGGGGGCUGGUGCCAUUGUCCAGUGGUUUCCUGAUUUGCACUGGGGUUUCAAAAUGUAGGUUCCCGGCUCCAAGAAACUAUUGUUUUAGAGGAAAGAAAAGGGCAAGUGGAGGUUGGUGUAGAAGAGGGGAAAGCAAAUUAAAUGAAUUAGAGAGGAGGAGGAUAUGAGAGAAGAGGUGAGAAGAGAAGAGAUGCUAACUGAUUAGGAUUAUUAGUGGUGAAGGGAUAAGAAGAGAAGGUAAGUGAUUAGGAUUAUUAGUGGUGAAGGGAUAAGAAGAGAAGGUAACUGAUUAGGAUUAUUAGUGGUGAAGGGAUAAGAAGAGAAGGUAAGUGAUUAGGAUUAUUAGUGGUGAAGGGAUAAGAAGAGAAGGUAAGUGAUUAGGAUUAUUAGUGGUGAAGGGAUAAGAAGAGAAGGUAACUGAUUAGGAUUAUUAGUGGUGAAGGGAUAAGAAGAGAAGGUUAUUGAUUAGGAUUAUUAGUGGUGAAGGGAUAAGAAGAGAAGGUAAGUGAUUAGGAUUAUUAGUGGUGAAGGGAUAAGAAGAGAAGGUAACUGAUUAGGAUUAUUAGUGGUGAAGGGAUAAGAAGAGAAGGUAAGUGAUUAGGAUUAUUAGUGGUGAAGGGAUAAGAAGAGAAGGUAAGUGAUUAGGAUUAUUAGUGGUGAAGGGAUAAGAAGAGAAGGUAAGUGAUUAGGAUUAUUAGUGGUGAAGGGAUAAGAAGAAAAGAGCUGCUGAGGAUAAGACACAGCAUUUCCACUUGUAUUAAGACCUUCACAUUUUAGAGAUACCAACUGGCCCAUACUAUCUGGUAUAAGGAUAAAUAAUAUCAUUAUAAUACAGAGGAGGUGAAAGCAGCCUGGGUCAGCAGCUGUAUGACUGGACCAACAGAGAGGAGAGGAAGGAGGAAGAGGA